rnacentral:lncRNA from 1 species
UCUUAAAAUUACACAACCCUUUGAUUUUUGGACGUAAUGCGUUCGGUCGUUUUCGGUACAAUGAGACACUUUCUGGGCAAUAUGUCUGUCUAGAGGAGUCGGUUAUCUCCUUUGGAUCAACAGCACCAUCACAUGAACAUGUUCUGUAUAGCCUCUCUAACUGUUUCCUUCUCUGGUUCUGUCCAAUCCCUUAUCCAGUGUGAUGAAUGUCAUGUCACAGUUUUGUUUUGUUUUGAGAUGAAUAGCAAAUUCAAGCAAAUGAGGAACAGUAUAAGGUUUAAAUAGGGACAAACAUGGAAUGACAGACACACAGUAGGAGAGACAGAGAGAGAGAAAGGGGACAGAGUUAGAUAGAGAGAGAGAGAUAAAGAGACAGAGAGAGAAGAAGAGAGUUUUCUUCAAACAACAGUGAUGGAAACGUUGUGGUAUCUCACCCUGCUAAUCUCAGGCCCCAGGCAUUCUAAUUCCUCUUCAUAAAAUUACCAACCCCAUAGGAUCAUGGUCUUUCCCUCAAAGGCUGGCGUGGUGUAUGGCUCUGUG